AAUCAACGCUGGCGGCGUGCCUAACACAUGCAAGUCGAGCGCGAAAGCGGGGCAACUCGCAAGUAGAGCGGCGAACGGGUGAGUAACGCGUGGGUGAUCUACCUCCGAGUGGGGAACAACAUCGGGAAACUGGUGCUAAUACCGCAUGACAUCCUCGGGUCAUACUGAGGAUCAAAGCCGGGGACCGCAAGGCCUGGCGCUUGGAGAGGAGCCCGCGUCCGAUAGCUAGUUGGCGGGGUAACGGCCCACCAAGGCGACGAUCGGUAGCCGGCCUGAGGAGGGCGGACGGCCACAC
rnacentral:rRNA from 1 species